rnacentral:rRNA from 1 species
GACGAACGCUGGCGGCGUGCCUAAUACAUGCAAGUUGAGCGCUGAAGGUUGGUACUUGUACCAACUGGAUGAGCAGCGAACGGGUGAGUAACGCGUGGGGAAUCUGCCUUUGAGCGGGGGACAACAUUUGGAAACGAAUGCUAAUACCGCAUGAAAACUUUAAACACAAGUUUUAAGUUUGAAAGAUGCAAUUGCAUCACUCAAAGAUGAUCCCGCGUUGUAUCAGCUAGUUGGUGAGGUAAAGGCUCACCAAGGCGAUGAUACAUAGCCGACCUGAGAGGGUGAUCGGCCACAUUGGGACUGAGACACGGCCCAAACUCCUACGGGAGGCAGCAGUAGGGAAUCUUCGGCAAUGGACGAAAGUCUGACCGAGCAACGCCGCGUGAGUGAAGAAGGUUUUCGGAUCGUAAAACUCUGUUGGUAGAGAAGAACGUUGGUGAGAGUGGAAAGCUCAUCAAGUGACGGUAACUACACAGAAAGGGACGGCUAACUACGUG